UACGUAGGGAGUGAGCGUUAUCCGGAAUCAUUGGGCGUAAAGAGCUCGUAGGCGGUUCAGCAAAUCGGCUGUGAAAGUCCGAGGCUCAACCCUGGAAUUGCAGUCGAUACUGCUGUGACUCGAGUCCGGUAGAGGAGAACGGAAUUCCCGGUGUAGCGGUGAAAUGCGCAGAUAUCGGGAGGAACACCAGUAGCGAAGGCGGUUCUCUGGGCCGGCGCUGACGCUGAGGAGCGAAAGCGUGGGGAGCGAACAGG
rnacentral:rRNA from 1 species